GGGAGAUACACUUAACAUAUGCAGUCGUAUAACACCUACUAACAUUUUCAAACAUUAAACCUUUAAAAAAGAGUUCUAAAGAAAUAGAAGCUUGAAGUAUCAUCUCUCAAGUAUAUAGACACUACUUCAUGGUGUGGUAAUAUAUGCAUAUAGAAGCUAGUAAACACCUCCAGGAGAUGCAAAAGGAAUUAGAACUGCCACAAGGUGCAAGCAAAACCUUGAGGAAGAUGCAGCGUGUUGAUCCCGUGCUUUUGAGGAAACCUAGCGUGCUAUGUCACAUCUUGCCAGCCAAGCUACAGAAUCACUUCAUUAAUAUCUAAAGACCAAAACACCAAAAGCUAAUAUGAACUAGGUGCAAAAAGCGUAGCCAGUCUCAAACCUCCACUUCUCUGUCUGUUACAUAGGCUUCCAUGUAUCCUUCUGAUAGUGAAUGGAAAAAAUAUUGGAAGCACCUAUCAGUGGGGUGAGACCCUCACCCUGUCACCUUACCAUACAUAGGGACUUUCAAGGGAGAAAAGGAAGGACCAAGAGGAUAAGAAAAGACCCACCAAGGAUACCAAAGAGUUGGCCUAGUAUGCAAAUACAGAGUUUUGAUUUCUCUCCAUUCAUAGUUUUCAAUCCUUAUUUAUUGAAUUUAAAGACACUCGGGUUUUGAGUCUUGACUCAUUAAAAUGUUUCUCGUGGAAGAUUGGGCUGAGCCCUUGUUUUUUCUAGAGGUUGGAUUAUGACCACUGUCAUUCCUUACAUUUUGACUGUUUUUCUGUUAACAUAGGGAGCACUACAAUUAUGAAAUAUAUUCUUUUCUGCUAUGGGAAAAUCAACACAAUUUGGAAGCAGUCCUGCCUGGAAUUUUGGGAAAUUGAUUCUUCCUCCUUGCCACUUUUCCAUCAAUCAACCUGCAGUCAAUGGAUAACUCCACUCUACUAUGUCUUCUAUCUCCUUUGUGGUACAUCUGAAAGUUGCUGAAUUGGAUCAGGUCAUUGCUUUGACAAUGUUUGUCACAAGGAUCUGUUGUAAACUCUCCCAAGAAAUCUUCCUCUGUGUAUUUGUCUUCUCAAGUCAUUAUGUUGUACCACCAAGUAAAUUAGACAUUAUGCAAAAGUACAUUCGUUUAUGAAAUAUACAGCAGAUAUUCAAAGAUAUCGUUUCCCAGUAAAACAGAAUGUAACAGGAUGUUUGCACACUAAGUAACUAUGUUUACUGUCAUUUAAAGAUCGACAAAUUCAAAAGUUCAUUAAAUUGCCCAGGGGCAUCCAACUAGGAAAUGGAAGAGCCAGGAUCCAAGCCCAGGUCUAACUGAGGGAGAAAGGGAUGUUUCCAUUGAUGUUUACUGUCCUGUGCCCUUCAGUCCCCUUUCUGCCCAUCUCAGAGAAUUUCAAUCUUGGAAUUCCCUCUCCAGUGUAUCCAGCAUUCUCUCAAUCACCCUUUCCCAGACAAUGUGUCUAACUAACAAACAAACGAACCAAUAAAGAAAAAGAAAUGGUCUGUUAAGUAAGAAGCAAAUCAAAAAAAGUAAACCUCCAUACUAUUUGAAUAUUUCCCAUUUUAAAUUUAUUUUCUAGAAGCUCUUUGGUAAGAAAUAAAAAGCACUAAAAAUUUCGAGCUUUGGGCAAUAAUGCUUAAAUCAAUUUCUUUUCAUGUUCACCGUAAAAAGAUAUUGCACUGAUGCUUAAGUCUAUUCCUGUCUUAGUAUUACAGUAUUAGUGUUUUCUGAAACGUAAAGUUCAGAACUUCAAGAUUAUUUUUAAUUUUAGUUUUAAAGUUACAAAAAUUUUAGAGACAGUUUGGGGGAAAUCAAUGAAUAUUUUUGGCAAAAGUAAAAGCAAUAAUAAAUACAAGGACCAGGAUACAGGCAGGCGUAUAUGGUUAGAAAGAGUUUCACUGAGCCAAAAAGCUCUGGAAAGGAGUAAGGGCACCAACUUGCCUUUAAAUAAUGCUGAUCCAAAAUUUCUGCUGUAAUUAGUCAGACUUGUGGAUGAUAGGCUAAUACUUUGAAAAACAUAGAAUUUCUGUCAGGCCAAAGUUGAAGCAUGCUAUAUGGAUUUAGAAAAAAUGCUGUUUUUAUUUUUUUAAACUUUCUGGAUAAUAGCUUUCUUUAGGGUAACAUAGUAAUUUCUUUAAGCACAAAGUUGUUUUAUGACAAUAUCUUGUUAUUGUUGAUGUUGGUUUUAUUACCACCACUGCUGCCAUUGUUAUCAUUAUGUUUGCCAUCCUGUACUAUUUAUUUCAGUUAGUCUUUUAUUGAGUUCACAUGGAACUUGUUCAGAGUAAUGCAUUAUGGUUAAGUAACUCUAUGUAUGUUACAGUUUGGGUUGUUGCAAUAAUCGUAUUUAUAUUCUCAAUGAUUAUCAGAUUUAUACAGUACAC
ensembl:lncRNA LINC00343 long intergenic non-protein coding RNA 343